AUAAAAAUUAUAAAUAUA
rnacentral:tRNA from 1 species